UUAAUUGGCGCGCAUGGAUUGAUCAAUGGAAACAAAAUUUUGAAGCAGAAAUCUUAGUCUUGGAGAGGUUAACUUGGAGAGAUUAACUCUAAUGCACAACCAAACCGUGGCGUGCGGACGUGUAUUUUGUGCCCUCUGAUAGUUUAUAUUUUAAAAUACUUUUUGAACAAUUUUGAAUGCACCAUUGGUACAAAUAUGCAAAUGAUAGAAAACUGAUGGAAUGUCAGGUUUUAUCGAGAAUAUAAGCCUUGCUUGGACAGGCGAUUUUGUUUCUCUUAAGCAAUUCUCGAGCGAAGUUCUCAAAUUAGAUGGCGAAUGGUCACAGCCUGGAGGGGACAAGAAGCUGCUUACGUUUGGUAAUUCAACUAUGGUGUGGCGAAAGAAUAAACAUGUAUUAACCAUUAAUGGUGAGAGAUCAGAGAAAAUCAAGAAACAGAUUUGCGAGGUAAUGCUUAAAGAUAACUUAACUUUGCCAACCCCGCCAUCGCAAGCCCAAUCAAGCAUGACGACCGAUGCACAUUUUGAUGAUAUUAAAACGGUCUCAAAGCAGGACAAAUGUUAAACUUCGAAAUAAUUCAAUCGCUUGCAGAGUCUGUUCAUGAUUUAGCGUCUGUAAUUUCUCGAGUGCAAGGAAAUGAAGUAAAGAAUAACAGUAAUUUUAGUAAAAACACAGAAAAAUCUGAUGUUAAGCAGUCUGAGUAUGCAAAUUUUGCUAAUACUAAAAGUUCCUUUGUCUUGGAAGAAUUGACGGAUUCGCCUAUGAACAAUAACAACAACAAUAACAAUGAUCGCAUUUCGCCAAUGAAAGAAAACGUUCCUUAAUCUAAUGAUAACGAUAUGUCCUACAGGGUGUAUAAAAAAAAGGAGACCUUUAGAAAUCAAGCAUAUUGUUAAAAUUUGAAUGCCUUUUCAAUUGCACAUAUGCUGUCCUGAACCGUGGUGCGUGAAAUAUUGAUGAGUGCAUAUAUUACAAAAAGGAGACCUUUAGAAAUCAACCAUUGUUAUAAUUUUAAUCCUGCAGCACUUUUCUAAGCCC